AAGGCAGCCAUGGUAUUGACAGAAAAAGACUCUGGAUUUGGAUUGCAGCUGUAGCAUUUAUUAAAUGCACGUCACAACCUCUCUGAGCUUCGUUUUCCCCACGUUUCAAAUGGGAUGCAGUGGACCCUGUUGCCUACCCGAGAACAACUUCAAAGCAACUUUGAGAGCCUUGUAUGGAAGAUGGCAACUUUGAGAGCCUUGUGUUGAAGAUGGCAAAGCCACAAGAUGGAAAGUGCUUGGGUUCUUGGAUCAUUGUAUGGAGGGGUUCUGCCCAACUAGGAUCACCCAGGCUGGAUUGUCAUAGUGAAGAUAAGAAUACCUAUUUUAAAGUUCUGUUGUGAGGUUCAAGUGCCACAUAUGGGGCCACCAGAAGCUGUUGGCGCCCCUCCCACAUCCCUGUGGUCCACUCAGGAGGUUAACUGCAGUCAGCUGUCAUUCUGCUGGUGGCUUCCUGCGUCUUUCUGCCUGAGCUUGUUCUUUGGCCCUGGAGGAACCCUCCACCAAUGAGAGAUGGGAAUUGUUGGAUAAAAGUCCCAGCUUCCACUCCAAGGCAUGUUCAUGAUCCAUGCAGCCUCUGAGAGGCCUCCCAUGGGCCUGAGCCCCAGUUGCCCACACUGGUAAUACACACAUCUGCUCACUCUCCACUGGCUUUCCUCUCUCCCUUUCUCACUGCUUCACCUUCCCAAUGUGCCUCCUGGACCACGU
rnacentral:lncRNA from 1 species